GUUUCGUACGGCAAUUCACGACAGGAGCGUUGGCGCGGGCUCCAGGUACGCCCUCGGCCACGUCGCCCCUGGGAUGCCCUUUGUACGAUGUAAUGUAUGGACGUGUCUUUAGGAUCAGUGGCAAAAUAUGCCUGAAGAACGUGUGCACGUUUUACCUUUGUUCCCAUAUGGCUGCAAGCACCCUUAAUCGCGAAACCUAGCUACAUCAAUGCGCCGCCGUCGAGGACAAUGCCCAGCCCGCAACCGAGGUCUUCCACAUAUAGGAUUUAUGGAACAGCAGGGGCAGCACUACCACAGCUACUGUCUUGCUGCAGUGAUGCGGGCUGGAGCUAGCUGGGUUGCACGCGGUGACGAGAGCAUUGUAUAUGUCCGUUCCUCCACCUUCAACAUGUCGA